CCUACGGGUGGCAGCAGUGGGGAAUAUUGGGCAAUGGGCGCAAGCCUGACCCAGCAACGCCGCGUGACGGAAGAAGGCUUUCGGGUUGUAAACUUCUUUUGACAGGGAAGAGCAGCAGACGGUACCUGUCGUAUCAGCCACGGCUAACUACGUGGCAGCAGCCGCGGUAAUACGUAGGUGGCAAGCGUUGUCCAGAUGUACUGGGUGUAAAGGGCGUGUAGCGGGGCGGACAAGUCAGGUGUGAAAGGCGGGGGCUCAACCCCCGAACUGCAGUUGAAACUGUGGGGCUUGAGUAUCGUGGAGGCAGGCGGAAUUCGUGGUGUAGCGGUGAAAUGCGUAGAUAGUAGGAGGAACGCCAGGGGCGAAGGCGGCCUGCUGGACGGCAACGGACGGUGAGGCGCGAAAGCGUGGGGAGCAAACAGGAGUAGAUACCCGUGUAGUC
rnacentral:rRNA from 1 species